AUUGAACGCUGGGGGCAUGCCUUACACAUGCAAGUCGAACGGCAGCAUGGAGAGCUUGCUCUCUGAUGGCGAGUGGCGAACGGGUGAGUAAUGCAUCGGAACGUACCGUGUAAUGGGGGAUAACGUAGCGAAAGUUACGCUAAUACCGCAUACGACCUGAGGGUGAAGCAGGGGAUCGCAAGACCUUGCGUUAUACGAGCGGCCGAUGUCAGAUUAGCUAGUUGGUGAGGUAAAGGCUCACCAAGGCGACGAUCUGUAGCGGGUCUGAGAGGAUGAUCCGCCACACUGGGACUGAGACACGGCCCAGACUCCUACGGGAGGCAGCAGUGGGGAAUUUUGGACAAUGGGGGCAACCCUGAUCCAGCCAUGCCGCGUGAGCGAAGAAGGCCUUCGGGUUGUAAAGCUCUUUCGGCCGGGAAGAAAUCGCACAGGCUAAUACUCUGUGUGGAUGACGGUACCGGCAUAAGAAGCACCGGCUAACUACGUGCCAGCAGCCGCAGUAA
rnacentral:rRNA from 1 species